rnacentral:rRNA from 1 species
CAGCAGCCGCCGCGGUAAUACAGAGGGUGCGAGCGUUAAUCGGAUUUACUGGGCGUAAAGCGUGCGUAGGCGGCUUCUUAAGUCGGAUGUGAAAUCCCUGAGCUUAACUUAGGAAUUGCAUUCGAUACUGGGAAGCUAGAGUAUGGGAGAGGAUGGUAGAAUUCCAGGUGUAGCGGUGAAAUGCGUAGAGAUCUGGAGGAAUACCGAUGGCGAAGGCAGCAAUCUGGCCUAACACUGACGCUGAGGUACGAAAGCAUGGGGAGCAAACAGGAUUAGAUACCCCGGUAGUCCCUGUCUCUUAUAC